rnacentral:rRNA from 1 species
GUUGUAUAGUCAAGUGAAUAAGUGCACACGGUGGAUGCCUUGGCAGUCAGAGGCGAAGAAAGACGUGACAGCCUGCGAAAAGCGUCGGGGAGGCGGCAAUAUCCUGUGAUCCGGCGAUAUCUGAAUGGGGAAACCCACUUGCCAGAAGGCAAGUAUCGUAACUAAUACGAAGCGAACCGGGAGAAGUGAAACAUCUCAGUACCCCGAGGAAAAGACAUCAAACGAGAUUCCCCCAGUAGCGGCGAGCGAACGGGGAGGAGCCGACGAAUUUAGACGUAGAGGAAUCACCUGGAAAGGUGAAUCAUAGAGGGUGACAAUCCCGUACUCGAAACGUUUAGAUAAGCAUAUUAAGUAGAGCGGGACACGAGAAAUCCUGUUUGAAGAUGGGGGGACCAUCCUCCAAGGCUAAAUACUCCUGACUGACCGAUAGUGAACCAGUACCGUGAGGGAAAGGCGAAAAGAACCCCUGUGAGGGGAGUGAAAUAGAACCUAAAACCGUGUGCAUACAAGCAGUGGGAGCCGAGAGGUGACCGCGUACCUUUUGUAUAAUGGGUCAGCGACUUAUAUUCUGUAGCGAGGUUAACCGAAUAGGGGAGCCGCAGGGAAACCGAGUCUUAAUAGGGCGUAUAGUUGCAGGGUAUAGACC